GGUAUGGCGCAGAUUUUCGCCACCGCCCUGAUGCUGAUGGCCAUGAACGAGCGGUCGUUCGUGGUGACAACGGCCUAUCUCAAGACCGAGGCCAUCCAGGCGGCGAUCUUCGGAUUUGUGUUUCUCGCGGACCAUCUCACGGUGCUGAAGGUCGCGGCUAUUGUGAUCGCCACCAUCGGUGUGGUGAUUACCGCGCUGCGGCCCGGCGGCAUGAAGGGCUUCGGUACCCUGAAGCCGACCGCGCUGGGAUUGCUGGCAGCGUCGUUCUUUGCGUUGUCAGCGGUCGGCUAUCGCGGCGCCAUUCUCAACGUCACUGGCGUCAGCUUCGUUACCGCCGCAAGCGUGACGCUGGUCGCGACCCUGCUGAUGCAAACCAUCGUCCUG
rnacentral:misc_RNA from 1 species